UCGAGGAUCUUCGGCAAUGGGCGCAAGCCUGACCGAGCGACGCCGCGUGUGCGAUGAAGGCCUUCGGGUUGUAAAGCACUGUCGAGGGGGAGGAAAGCCCGCAAGGGCCUGACCUACCCCUGGAGGAAGCACGGGCUAAGUUCGUGCCAGCAGCCGCGGUAAGACGAACCGUGCGAACGUUGUUCGGAUUCACUGGGCUUAAAGGGCGCGUAGGCGGGCAACCAAGUCAGGGGUGAAAUCUUUCGGCUCAACCGGAAAAGGGCCUCUGAUACUGGUCGCCUCGAGGGAGGUAGGGGCAUGCGGAACUUCCGGUGGAGCGGUGAAAUGCGUAGAUAUCGGAAGGAACGCCGGUGGCGAAAGCGGCGUGCUGGACCUCUUCUGACGCUGAGGCGCGAAAGCCAGGGGAGCGAACGGGAUUAGAUACCCCCGUAGUCC
rnacentral:rRNA from 1 species